AGAGGGUUAGUUUAACAAAAACAGUUGAUUUCGACUCAGCAAACCACAGGCAACCCUGUGACCCUCUU
rnacentral:tRNA from 1 species